UCUUGACAUGUCAACUAACAAAUCUUAAAUCAUAAGAUAAGCCCCACCUCAAUAUUUGGGCGAACAACACAAACAAGCUCCCCACAAACUUGUAAUGCUUCUGAUGUGACUUUGUAAUAUCUCUCACAAAUAGUAGAUAAAACAGGGGAGGAAAGCACCUAAAACAUCAUAAUAAAAACAGAGAAAGUAAACACCCUGCAGCUGAUUUCGUAUAAACCCAACUCAGAAGCAGGUAGCAUAAACAGUUUAUAUACACAACAAAGGUAGGAAUUAUACCGUUGAACAAAAGAUAAGAGAAAACUGUCGAACAAUUACAAACUUUCCAAUAUAGAACCUAAUUCACCAGCCCUCACAAUGUAAAGGCUCGAUGGCGCCCAAAACUCCCGCUUGAAUUGCAUCACAAAAACCAUUCAAGGGGAAAGGCUCAUCUAGCCUCUCCGCAAGGGCCAAAAGGUGAAAAAGGUCUUAACAAUCUAAUCAUGCCAAAAAGGAAGAAACACACCUCAAGAAGCACAGACCACGACUUCAGGAAACCAUCGUACAUGGAAUCACCCAUAGCAACCUAACAAGCCUUUGGCCACAGCUAUAACGGUUCGAAAAGGUCGAACGAAUAACUCAUUGCGAACCACGGAAGUAGGAGCCAUUGCCCCUCGGACGGCUGUAGUCAUUAUCCAGGUUGCUUCCCCUGCCCAAACUCUGACCACUCAGGCGUCCCCUUAGGCCCUCGGAUUGGUAUCCGCCUCUGCCUCUUCCUCGUCCUGGCAUUCAUUCAAAGAAAGUGUCAAAUGCAGAAGUAACGAUGAUUUAUAAGCAAAAUCCUAUCUUCAUGUUCUCCAAAAAGAUACUCGUCAAACAUAAUCAAGAUUUUAGCUGUUCCAAAUUUACAAGCACUUGCAGAGAAAUGUCACUCAAACCCCAAACAUCACUUUAACAGUUUAAUUGUGACAUCACCAAUAUCUCUAUUUCUAUCUCCAAAUGAACAGGAACUUAUAUUGCGAACCAAUUUUAUUGCACAUACCCACUCAC
rnacentral:lncRNA from 1 species